GUUGAACGCUGGCGGCGUGCCUAACACAUGCAAGUCGAGCGGAUAGACGCAGCUUUCUCCUGGAUUCCGCGGCGGGCGGGUGAGUGAUACCUAGGAGUAUGCCUGGUCUUACGGGAUGACGUCCUGACGCGACCGCUGAUACCACAUCCGUCCUGAUCGUGAAACUGGGGGAUCUUCGGACCUCACGCUCUCUGCUGAACCUAGGUCGGAUGAGCUAGUUGGUGGGGUGAAUGCCUACCAAGGCGACCAUCCGGAGCUGGUCUGAGAGGAGGAUCGGCCACACUGGAACGGAGACACGGUCCAGACGCCUACGGGAGGCAGCAGUGGGGAAUAUUGGGCAAUGGGCGAAAGCCUGACACAGCCAUGCCGCGGGUGUGAAGAAGGUCUUCGGAGCGUAAAGCACUGUUAGUGGGGAGGAAGGGCUGUAAGUUAAGACAUGGCUGUAGUGACGGUACCAAAUGAAUAAGCACCGGCUAACUACGUG
rnacentral:rRNA from 1 species